rnacentral:tRNA from 1 species
GUCUCCAAAAUCUGUAAGAUAAAAAAUUUUUGAUUUUUUUAAGAGUAUGUGCUCUGGAUACAA